rnacentral:lncRNA from 1 species
GGCGCAGUCUUGGCCAGCGGCGAGCGCUUGCAGUCCUCGGGGGUGUGGGCGGAGGCCGGCAUGGACGGGGCGCCCGAGUCCCCCACGGCCUCCUCCCUCGCGGCCCAGGAGCGGGGGCGACUGGCGCAGCAGCUUCUCCCGCUCCUGCAGCGACGCCACGAUGUGGCGCGACAGAUUGUCGUAGCGCACCGGGGAUGGCUCGCGCUGCGGGCCAGCCGCGCGGACAGGAAGGGUGAGGUGUAGCCCAGCGGCUCAGGCGCGGGCACGGCCUGCAGGGACUCGAAGUCGGGGCUGUCCGAUGGCGUGAGCAGGCUGUCGUAGGAAAGGCUGCCAUUGCGCGUCUGGUUGGCCAGGCUCUUGUAGGACGUGGAGGUGGUGCCCUCCGAGCGGAUGGACUGCAGCUGGCCCAGCUCAAAGCCCACGCCCUGGGCCGACUUGAGGCUGGACGAGCGGGGACAGCAGGGAGGUCGCCAACCAGGGGAGGCCGGAGGCGCAGAGCCGCCACCCUCCCCUCCCGAAGAACGCGGCAGCUCAACAGGUCCUGGAAGAGGGAAGGUGCACGGGAGGGGAAAGGCGACUUCCCAGCCUGAGAAGCGGCCUCCCUGGAGCAAGGCGGCGGCAGAUCAGGAGAUGGGGCUGCAGCAGUCUGAACACGGAGCAGGGGAGGUGCAGGUGGAGCAGGUGGCGAGCAGCGCAGUCAGGCAGGCCGCAGGGCAGCUCGUGGAGGUGGGGCUUCCCAGGAAAGGAGGACGGGGUUGGGGGUCAGAGUCACCAAGAAGCUCCGAGGGGGAGCACCGGCAGUGCCCCCGAGGCUGUGCCCUGAAGGUGCGCCCCGCUGCCCUGCCUGCAGUCCUGUCCUGCGCAGCCUCCCGAGGCCACCACGCCCACACGGCUUCACCAGGCCCUGCAGUCUGGCACCGGCAGCUUAACUUUAUUUACUUCUCUCUUGACGGCCAACACUGGACAACAGCUGUUACAGGGCUGAGUUGUAAAUCCUUUCCUUUGGAGGGGGAGGGAAAACGGAGCAAACCUGACCGUCUUCAGUCUCUGCUUGUUACUCCUGACCCUGUUAAGGGCUCUGUUUCCCACAGAGUUCAUGCAAAACUAAAUGGAAACUUAAAAUCCUUGGAAGCCAUGUUCUUCCCAGUAAGCAGAAGAGGGACGAAGACACAACUUCUACUUGAUGGUACUUUCAGACUUCUGUGAAUAAAGGCAAAGCUCCAAAGAUGCCCCUGUUCCCAGGUUUCUCAAGUUCUCUGAUCUUUUGUCUUCAAGCUGGGGCUCUGCAGAUGUGGAGUUCAGCUGGGUUACAGGGCCUCACCUGGAGAAAAACAAGGAUGUUUACCAAGAAAACUUCCCGGGC